CAAGAUCACCUUCACGCUUCGUCAUCUCAAACUUCGACCCUGGAAACACAAAUUGAAGAACAUGCUCCGUUAGUGCUUCAUUGCGACCUGUCGUAUAUAAAUGAAAAAGCUUAAUCCGUCAAUGGCAAAUGUAAGUCUUCAGAAAUUAAGAGGAAACCUAAAAAUUCGAACAGCUACGUACCUGCUGCAUGCAUGUAUUUUGUUGUUGAUCCCAAUCUCGAGAUGUAGCUGUUGAUUUGCUC